AAUCUGUUUCAGCAUCGUCACGUUACAAAAAAAAAUCUAACCAAAACAACUAAAUGUUAUGGAUUUCAAACCAUAACAUUUUAAUUUGAACAGUUGUUUUAUACGUGUAAAUGUCAAUUAUGGCGAUUUGUUCAAUGGAUCGAGCUACAAUCUCAACCCGGAAUCAAAUAACAGUUUCAUACGCUUAAAGAAACAGUCUAGGUGCAUGCAGACUAACACAAUAACAGUUUCAUACGCUUAAAGAAACAGUCUAGGUGCAUGCAGACUAACACAAUAACAGUUUCAUACGCUUAAAGAAACAGUCUAGGUGCAUGCAGACUAACACAAUAACAGUUUCAUACGCUUAAAGAAACAGUCUAGGUGCAUGCAGACUAACACAAUAACAGUUUCAUACGCUUAAAGAAACAGUCUAGGUGCAUGCAGACUAACACAAUAACAGUUUCAUACGCUUAAAGAAACAGUCUAGGUGCAUGCAGACUAACACAAUAACAGUUUCAUACGCUUAAAGAAACAGUCUAGGUGCAUGCAGACUAACACAAUAACAGUUUCAUACGCUUAAAGAAACAGUCUAGGUGCAUGCAGACUAACACAAUAACAGUUUCAUACGCUUAAAGAAACAGUCUAGGUGCAUGCAGACUAACACAAUAACAGUUUCAUACGCUUAAAGAAACAGUCUAGGUGCAUGCAGACUAACACAAUAACAGUUUCAUACGCUUAAAGAAACAGUCUAGGUGCAUGCAGACUAACACAAUAACAGUUUCAUACGCUUAAAGAAACAGUCUAGGUGCAUGCAGACUAACACAAUAACAGUUUCAUACGCUUAAAGAAACAGUCUAGGUGCAUGCAGACUAACACAAUAACAGUUUCAUACGCUUAAAGAAACAGUCUAGGUGCAUGCAGACUAACACAAUAACAGUUUCAUACGCUUAAAGAAACAGUCUAGGUGCAUGCAGACUAACACAAUAACAGUUUCAUACGCUUAAAGAAACAGUCUAGGUGCAUGCAGACUAACACAAUAACAGUUUCAUACGCUUAAAGAAACAGUCUAGGUGCAUGCAGACUAACACAAUAACAGUUUCAUACGCUUAAAGAAACAGUCUAGGUGCAUGCAGACUAACACAAUAACAGUUUCAUACGCUUAAAGAAACAGUCUAGGUGCAUGCAGACUAACACAAUAACAGUUUCAUACGCUUAAAGAAACAGUCUAGGUGCAUGCAGACUAACACAAUAACAGUUUCAUACGCUUAAAGAAACAGUCUAGGUGCAUGCAGACUAACACAAUAACAGUUUCAUACGCUUAAAGAAACAGUCUAGGUGCAUGCAGACUAACACAAUAACAGUUUCAUACGCUUAAAGAAACAGUCUAGGUGCAUGCAGACUAACACAAUAACAGUUUCAUACGCUUAAAGAAACAGUCUAGGUGCAUGCAGACUAACACAAUAACAGUUUCAUACGCUUAAAGAAACAGUCUAGGUGCAUGCAGACUAACACAAUAACAGUUUCAUACGCUUAAAGAAACAGUCUAGGUGCAUGCAGACUAACACAAUAACAGUUUCAUACGCUUAAAGAAACAGUCUAGGUGCAUGCAGACUAACACAAUAACAGUUUCAUACGCUUAAAGAAACAGUCUAGGUGCAUGCAGACUAACACAAUAACAGUUUCAUACGCUUAAAGAAACAGUCUAGGUGCAUGCAGACUAACACAAUAACAGUUUCAUACGCUUAAAGAAACAGUCUAG